rnacentral:rRNA from 1 species
AUUAUUAUUAAAAAACUAUCACGGAGAGUUUGAUUCUGGCUCAGGAUGAACGCUGGCGGUAUGCUUAACACAUGCAAGUUGAACGAAGAUACUAAUUCAUUGAAUUAUAAUACUUAGUAGCGGACGGGUGAGUAACGCGUAAGAAUCUACCUUUAGGAAAAGGAUAACAACUGGAAACGGUUGCUAAUACUUUAUAUGCUGAGAAGUUAAAUAGGUUACUGCCUAAAGAUGAGCUUGCGUCUGAUUAGCUAGUUGGUAAGGUAAAGGCUUACCAAGGCAAUUAUCAGUAGUUGGUCUGAGAGGAUGAUCAGCCACACUGGGACUGAGACACGGCCCAGACUCCUACGGGAGGCAGCAGUGAGGAAUUUUUCGCAAUGGGCGCAAGCCUGACGAAGCAAUACCGCGUGAAGGAUGAAGGCCUGCGGGUUGUAAACUUCUUUUAUUAGAGAAGAUAAUGACGGUAUCUAAUGAAUAAGCAUCGGCUAACUAUGUGCCAGCAGCCGCGGUAAUACAUAGGAUGCAAGCGUUAUCCGGAAUGAUUGGGCGUAAAGCGUCUGUAGGUGGUUUAAAAAGUCAACUGUUAAAAACUAAGGCUCAACCUUAGGCAGGCAGUUGAAACUUUUAAACUAGAGUAUGGCAGAGGUAGAGGGAAUUACUGGUGUAACGGUGAAAUGUGCAGAUAUCAGUAAGAACACCAAUGGCGAAAGCACUCUACUGGACCAAAACUGACACUCAGAGACGAAAGCUAGGGGAGCGAAUAGGAUUAGAUACCCUAGUAGUCCUAGCUGUAAACGAUGGAAACUAAAUAUUGCGUUUUUAAAAUGCAGUAUUGUAGCUAACGCGUUAAGUUUCCCGCCUGGGGAGUAUGCUCGCAAGAGUGAAACUCAAAGAAAUUGACGGGGGCCCGCACAAGCGGUGGAGCAUGUGGUUUAAUUCGAUGCAACGCGAAGAACCUUACCGGGGUUUGACAUACUAUGCGUUUUUUGGAGACGAAAAAGUUUAAACAUAGAUACAGGUGGUGCAUGGCUGUCGUCAGCUCGUGUCGUGAGACGUAGGGUUAAGUCCUGUAACGAGCGCAACCCUUAUUGUUAGUUGCUUUAAGGAAACUAGCAAGACUGCCAGUGAUAAGCUGGAGGAAGGUGAGGAUGACGUCAAGUCAGCAUGCCCCUUAAAUCCCGGGCUACACACGUGCUACAAUGGUUAAGACAAAGAGAUGCUAACUUGUGAAAGUACAGCCAACCUCAAAAACUUAAUCUCAGUUCGGAUUGUAGGCUGCAACUCGCCUACAUGAAGCUGGAAUCGCUAGUAAUCGCAGGUCAGCUAUACUGCGGUGAAUACGUUCCCGGGCCUUGUACACACCGCCCGUCACACCAUCGGAGCUGACUAGGCCCGAAGCCGUUGUAAACGUCUAAGGCACAGUUAGUGACGAGGGUGAAGUCGUAACAAGGUAGGGCUACUGGAAGGUGGCCCUGGAUCACCUCCUUC